UUCUAUGGCCAUACCACCCUGAAUGUGCCCAAUCUUGUCUGAUCUCAGAAGCUAAGUAGGUUCAGCCUGGUUAGUAUUUGGAUGGGAAACAUAUAAUUAUAAAGGUAUAGUAUAAU
rnacentral:rRNA from 1 species